ACUUGAUAUCAAUUUUAUUACAGGCGGUUUGAACUUUUUGAAGAGCCAGAAGGAUUGUUUGUGCCUGCGUGUGUCACUAAUAUCCCUCCUCCCUCCAAUGCAGGAUGGGGGAAAAAAGGCUGCAGAGCUUCCUGCAAGGGGCUGUAAGUGCAAAUAAAGAGGAGCCAGAGGUUUAGUUGCUACGAAUCACUGUUUCUGAAAAGAGCCUGAUGGAUUUCCUGAUACCAAAACCAGUAGGAAUAGGAGACUGAACUCGGGCAUGGUGAUGGUCUCCUUGGCUUUAAAAAGCUUUAGUGGCUUUAAAAGGCAUUUCUAUCAGACCUGGUUUAUUUUUAUUACCUCUCAUUAAAUUUUAGAAUAAAAAAGCCCCGCUCCAUCACUGCUGCUGUGAUGUGUGACUAAAGCCCAUCUUCCCUCCACUGGGAACAGGUGAGAGAUGGGACUAAACCCCAAAGGAUUUUCUGCUCACUGAUGGCACGUGAGUUUUCUUGGGAAUUCUCUGCCAAAUGUGGUCAGUUGUCCUUGAAUGUGGCCAUGAGGGGAGUCGGACGUGCCAGCCCAGAUCUGCAAACAUGCAGUGCCAGAAGGAGAACCUUUGAAAUGUCACCUGGGAUGUGUUCCACUGACUCACAGGACCGGAGAAAUGGUUCCACUCCUCCCAUCUUUGCCAAAAGCUGUGGUGUUUGAGGAGCCAGAGCCAAGGUGCCUUCAGCACCAGGGCUCUGCACUGGAGGGCUCCCGGUCCUGACCGCGCAGGGUUCCCCUUUUCCUCCCCGCUGGGAUGAAGUGUCUAUGGAAUCUGGGGUCUGGGUGAAACUGCAGCUCUGCUGGUAUCCAGGGACGUGAGGUUCCGGGGGACUGCGUUUCUCUGUGGCUUUCCAGGUCGGCAGGAGCCGGAGGAAAUGGGGUGCCAGAGCCGUGCCCCAUCAGGCCGUGUUUGCCUCUGAGGAACAGAGAGUCCGGGCUGAGGGAGAAGAGGACGAACUCCCAGCCAUUCAGGCCUGACAGUCCCCUGCAGCGAGAGCAUACACUGGAAGAGUUCAGGGUCGAAGACAAGGCUGAGGGAAAAUCCAGGGUAUUUAUAAGGGAUGAUGAGAGGUGGGUCCAGGGUGAGAAUCCAGUGGGUAAAGGGAAAAGUGGUGUAAGGGAGGAGUAAUACAGGGCAGGGGCCGAUAAGGUAGGAUGGGUGGAACAGUGCAGUGAACAUAAACCAAUGGGGGGGGGGGGGG